CGGCGAGUGAAGCGGUAAAAGCUCAAAUUUGAAAUCUGGUACUUUCAGUGCCCGAGUUGUAAUUUGUAGAAUUUGUCUUUGAUUAGGUCCUUGUCUAUGUUCCUUGGAACAGGACGUCAUAGAGGGUGAGAAUCCCGUUUGGCGAGGAUACCUUUUCUCUGUAAGACUUUUUCGAAGAGUCGAGUUGUUUGGGAAUGCAGCUCAAAGUGGGUGGUAAAUUCCAUCUAAAGCUAAAUAUUGGCGAGAGACCGAUAGCGAACAAGUACAGUGAUGGAAAGAUGAAAAGAACUUUGAAAAGAGAGUGAAAAAGUACGUGAAAUUGUUGAAAGGGAAGGGCAUUUGAUCAGACAUGGUGUUUUUUGCAUGCACUUGCCUCUCGUGGGCUUGGGCCUCUCAAAAAUUUCACUGGGCCAACAUCAAUUCUGGCAGCAGGAUAAAUCAUUAAGAAUGUAGCUACUUCGGUAGUGUUAUAGCUUUUUGGAAUACUGUUAGCCGGGAUUGAGGACUGCGCUUCGGCAAGGAUGUUGGCAUAAUGGUUAAAUGCCGC
rnacentral:rRNA from 1 species